UACGUAGGGUGCAAGCGUUAAUCGGAAUUACUGGGCGUAAAGCGUGCGCAGGCGGUUAUGCAAGACAGAUGUGAAAUCCCCGGGCUUAACCUGGGAACCGCAUUUGUGACUGCAUAGCUGGAGUACGGCAGAGGGGGAUGGAAUUCCGCGUGUAGCAGUGAAAUGCGUAGAGAUGCGGAGGAACACCGAUGGCGAAGGCAGCCCCCUGGGCUAGCACUGACGCUCAGGCACGAAAGCGUGGGGAGCAAACAGG
rnacentral:rRNA from 1 species